rnacentral:tRNA from 1 species
GCGGGGGUGCCAGAGCGGACAAAUGGGCCAGGUUUAGGCCCUGGUGACUUAGGUCUUCGCAGGUUCGAAUCCUGUCUCCCGCA